AUGGAGGAUUCUAUUGAUGACUUCUUGCAAGGUGUUGGCGACAAAGAUAAUAAGCCAGAUGGUUUUCUCGAGAAGAUUAAGCACUCACUCCGCAAGUUGUGGAAGAUGAAGACUCGUCAGCGGAUUGGCAAUGAGAUCCAAGAUCUGAAGAAACAGAUCAUUGAUGUGGGCAAGAGGAAUCAAAGGUACAAGACUAGGCAGGCUGUCUUUGGUACCGUCAACUUGUCCAACACCAAAAAUGUGGUGGUUGACCCAAGAGCUCUUGCUAUCUUUGAGCAUGGCUCAAAGCUCGUUGGAAUUGAUGAGCCCAAGGCCGAGAUAAUUAAAUUGUUGGCUGAAGGUGAAUCAAAACAAGAGCAAACAAAGUCUCUCUCCAUCAUAGGACCAGGAGGAAUGGGAAAGACAACGCUUGCAAACCAAGUUUAUCGAGACCUCAAAGCAAAAUUCGAAUGUCGAGCCUUCUUAUCCAUUUCACGAAAUUCAGACAUCAUCAAUAUCCUAAGAACUAUUCUUAGUAAAGUUACUAGCAAAGGUUACCCUGAUUGUGGCGUCACUAAUUAUCGCAAAUAG
rnacentral:rRNA from 1 species